AUGUGGUGCGAACAGAAGAGGAUUGAAGAGCAUGAGGGAGGGGAUUGGAGUGUACCUGAUGGAUCUGUUGGCUAUCCGCCGAGGCCGAGCAGAGGACGACGACACUGGACCAUCCAGAACAGAAUGAAGAGCAUGAGGGAGGGGAUUGGAUUCUGCUGGAUCUGGGUUGUUGUGCGUGGCGUGGUUUGUUGGAUCAUCUCAUCCAAAGUCCAGACAUCAUUCUCAAGUCAGCUCAUGCUGCUGCCUGCGUCAGUGAGGGAGAUGAUAUAUGUUUCAAUACUGUGGAGGGCGUGGACGUUGACCUGCCGGUUUGUGUCUCCGGCUGGGGCUGGACGACCUCAUGGCUAG
rnacentral:rRNA from 1 species